CAAUUAUUCCUCUGAAAUCACGAUCGCAAACGGGAGCCGAGAUGGUGUCAAGCCUUAGGACUGGGGCAGGUGCUCUCAAAACACACCGUCUCCCGUGAAAAUGUUGCAUUAAUUUAUCAGUAACGUGAAAAAUCUGCAUCAGUCAGGGAUAUUGUGGAUAUCUGUCUACACCGCUGAGAUGACAGAGGUGGAGCCGGUGUUGGAUUUUGCCUCAUCGGGCCGCUCUGGCCGUCGCAACGCACUGCCUGACAUCCUGGGGUCUCCUGUUGGAGUCCCGCCUGACCUGUCUCUUAAAUUGGCAGAACUAUCCCUCACAGACGGGCCAGGUGAUGCUCAGUCCCCGUCUACGGAGGAACCCCCCACUCCUACAGAGAGCCCAGAGGUGAAGGAGGGUUCCUAGGUGGCUGAGUCUAUGCCUAGACCGCAGAGAUGGGGCCUCAGCCGCCCCCGCCUUUCCCCUGGAGCUCAUCCUCUACCGACUGUUCCUGAUGCCUGUCAGACUGCAUUACAGGAAGCAACAGAGGGCAGCUAAAAUGUGAAAUGAAGGACAAGGUCUUCAAAGGGUCCGUACAAUGAAAGAAAAAACAGAAUGUCCAAAAAACAGGAAAGGAAGCAGAAUAUUGCAAGAGGAUGUCGAAGAGCAAUCCUCACUUUUUUUUAAACACAGACAAGCCAAAACGCGGGGGGACCUGCUUGGGAAUGCUUUAAUGAAUUUUAUGCAUUUGUUUGACAAAAUGCUGUUCUUUUUAUGAGUUUUCUAUCCAAUAAUGACUAUUGUGAGUUACGUGUACAUCCUGUUGUGGUUUGAUAUUGUAUGAUAUUAUGUGAUCUUAGUAAUA